UAACAUACGGAAGAUACCAAA
ensembl:piRNA 21ur-4816 ncRNA